rnacentral:lncRNA from 1 species
GUGAUUUUUCAAAAAACAGCAAUAACAAUAAAUGAAUUAAAGCUAAUUUAAAAAAAGAUAUAAAAAAUGAAUUAAAGUUGGAGAAUGCGCUGGUUUGAUUGGCCCAAAAGAUUGUUGGCUUGAGCCCAAGAAAUCGGUCUUCUACCCCUUUUUUCUUUGAUCACGUGAGAGCAGUAGGCUUUACGGCUGUCCCUGCAUGUGAAUUGUGAAAUAUUGUUUCUUGUCAUUUGCAGAUACGAACACAUCUUUGCAUCUAGUUCUCUUCUUCUAUUCCUGCCUCAACUUUAGUAAGCUAAAGAUGAUCAUGAGCUGCCUGGAAGGAAGAAAACAAACAAAUAAAUAAAUAAAUAAAACAAUUGAUGGAGGCAAAACAAAUCGUGGGGAGUGAAAUCAUGUGUUUGCAACUUGUGAUAUCAAUGGGGUCGACCGGCUUUCACGUGAGCACCUUCUGUUGUCUCUCGUCUCUCCACAUUUCUUCAUCAUUAAAUUCCCCCUAUGCUUUCUUCUUUUUUUAUUUUUUUUUGCUUUCCUUUCCUUUCCUUUCCUUUAUUGAAUAAUCUGUAAAUGCAUGUAUUUGUACAUAUAUGUAUCUUCUCUUAUCUUCCCUGCUUUAAUCUUUGUGAUUUUUCAGCUACUGCUUAAUCACACUCUCAACUUUGUUUGUCAUGCGGUGUAAUCAUGUUGAAAAAAAGGUAAAGUUUUGAA